CACAACCCUACUGAGCAGGACGGAAGCAUAGGUUUAUCUCCCUCCCUCUCUCUCCUCUGCCGGAAGAUAACCUUUGCACGUGUGUCAGUGUGGCGCCAGAAAACGCCCUCGUGACGAGGGAACAAUGGGCCCGACACCGGUCGGCAACCCGUUGCCGGUGAAGAAGAGGACCUGGAGAGGUCCAACAGCAAUUCAUUUAUUGGACCAUGAUAUCCUCUGCAUCAUCUUCUCAUUUCUCGGCUUUUUUGACCUCGUUCGUUGUUCUGCCGUUUGCAAAUCCUGGAAUGC
rnacentral:misc_RNA from 1 species